rnacentral:rRNA from 1 species
UACGUAGGCAGCGAGCGUUGUUCGGAGUUACUGGGCGUAAAGGGUGUGUAGGCGGUUGUUUAAGUUUGGGGUGAAAUCUCCCGGCUCAACUGGGAGGGUGCGCCGAAUACUGAAUGACUUCGAGUACGGGAGAGGUGAGUGGAAUUCCUGGUGUAGCGGUGAAAUGCGUAGAUAUCAGGAGGAACACCGGUGGUGUAGACGGCUCACUGGACCGUAACUGACGCUGAGACACGAAAGCGUGGGUAGCAAACAGG